UGAAAAGUUUGAAAGAGGUUAACUUGGAAGUACCACGAUCAAACAAGUUCUCCAAGCUUUCGACGAAAAUCUAAUUUAGUGCAUAUUCUCGGAGGAACCUCGCUCGCAAUUAAUGAGAAGCUGGCUUAGGUGUGUGCAGCAUGAAGAGGCGAUAGAAAAAUUUCAUUCCAUAUUUUCGAUAUAUUUUUUCACGUAGUAUCGCCUUCUUGGCUAUUUUCAUAGCAACAAAUGUGUCGAAUGAUGCAAGACUAAUGCCAAACUCGCCAUAAAGUCGUUUAAAGUUCCUUUUUGGAACUUUUAAUGAUUCAAAAGGAGGCUCGUCCAAAGCCAUUCAUUUCGAAAGGCAUGGAAGCGAGAAUUCUACCCUUUUACCAAACUUUGAUGGUGGAUUCGUGCACCGAGGAAAUUUAUGAAGCGCGAUUCAUUUGUUUAUUUAUGGCUGACGGUGCAUCCGCAACGGGCGAUAAACGGGGCCGCCGGCUACUAAACUGCCUUCUGCAUGAAGAAGCGCGAUACGACCUAACCUAGACGUUCGCCAAGAGCUUGCCAAGGUGAAACGCACCUAUUUUUUUGCUCCAAAAAGGUGUAAAUAUCUUUUGAAGAUUUGUGAGACUUUCGGUGGAUGUACUCGCAACAAAUUUCCAGAGAAAAUAGUCGUAAUAUUAGAAAAAAAUUUGAUUAAUAAGAUUGAUAUCAGUUAAAAAGCAAAGUUAAUAACAUAUAAAUUAGGUUAGUUUAGUUUUAACCUAAAGAUUACAUCAGAAUAUCAACUUCGUUGAAGAAGGGUACUUAUGAAAGAAACCAACUAAGGUGCUACCGGAUGAAUAUGAUAGAUGAAAAACUUCCAAGUUCUCACAUUAAUUCCUAACGAGGUUCUAAGUUCUUUCGAGCGAGAACAGGUGUCCCCCCAAGAAAACCUUCUGCGAAAUUUUCAGAAAAUUGCAUUCUCCUCUAUUCUACUCUUUUUCCGCUCGUUUUUAAUUCGUAAUUAAGGGAGAAUCGCGAUGGUUAAUCAGAAAUAAGCUGCUCAACGUAGCUUCGUUCACCACUUCCAGUUCUUUAACGAGAAAACCUAACCUACAAUAACCUCCAAAAUUUUGUAACAUUCACAGUUUGCAUAAAAUCACCCUCAUACUUCGAAUUAUACAGAGUAUCCUAGAAAUUGUGAUCCAAUUGAAAAAAUUAUGCUUCUUUUGAGCAAAUAUGAUCAAAUCAUAGAAAAAAAUUUGGGGAGACUAAAUUUCCUAUCUUGUUUAACUGAAAACUGUAUCUUUACGUGCAAUACCUUCAGUUUUCAACUUAAUUUUGUUUUAUUUUGUCAUACAUUGCCACCCACUUCCUAUUUGUACCAUAAUUUUUGAAAUACCUUAUAUAAUGAGGAAAACAAGGUUAGGUUACAGUCUUUCACGGCUCAAAAUAUCGCAGUUCAGCCUGUUACACGCUUGACAGUAUUAUGUUUAACACUAUUUCGUCGAACAGGCUCUCGAGAAAGAGCCGAGGCCAAAAGAAACAAAAUUAUGACGUUUCGUGAACAUUGAAGUUCCGCAUUGUGAGCCAUGCGCGUGUGUAACAAUGUGAAUUAUGAAUGUUAGGUUAACCCUAACCUCAAACGAUAAUUGUUUAGCAAACAACUAGAAGCAAGAACGACUAAGACCGUGAACAAGGUAGAAGAAACGCCGAAGGUAAUAAGCAGCGAAGCAAUUAGAAGAAGUAAUGCGGUCGUAAAGGAAGGAAAACGAGAGAAAAUGGGAAAACAAAAACAAAAGGCGAAAUACGCGAGGUUAUAAUUGGACAGCCAGACGUGUUCCAUGCCAGACAGUAGAAUUAUCGUAUGGAAGAGCCGAGAUGCGUAAACGCAACGAGAAAUCGCAGCACAGAUGAUGCCUCAGACGCUCCUUAGUCAUGAACCAACUUGUGAAGUGUGCAAAGACCUAUACAGGUCAGGAUAUUUUUGGAAAUAUCUGAAAGGAAACAGAGAACGUUUGCCAAUUCCAUGGAUAGACGCCUUUGAGACCCUCUCGCAUGUCGUGACUCGUUAAGCUGAUCAACGAUCGCAAUUUCGAAUCAGUCCUUUAAUCUACCGACUGCUAUUGGUUAUCCAUUACGCGUUUAACGAGGUCGCCGCUGCAAGAAACGAUAUUGCACCGGUAUGGAUUUAUUUACAGCACGUCCUGACCAGCAUCCCGCACUUCUUCAUCCGCAUCCCCUUGAAUAUCCAAUAGAAAAGCGCGAUAUCCGUUUUUUCCCUAUCUUUCUUUUUUAUUCAAGGCAUUUUUCAUAAUUCUCUUUAAAACAUGCAUCCACACGAAGCGGGUAAUUUAAGAUCGCAGUCAAAAUCAUAGAAUAUCAUUCUUUCUGUCAGAACUAUUUGAAAAAUGUCACAAAAUGCCAAAAAGAAAAAAUAAAAAAAAUAUUGUAACCUUGUCCAACUAUGGAAAAUGUUUUAGCUGAUAGAACAAUAUCUCAAUGUUUACCAUAUGAACGUUACCAUAUGAAACUCAAUGUUUGAACCGAUCAUUUUAUCAUAAAUAUUCGUUAAAUCGAAUAGAAAUAAAAGGGGAUAAAAUUAGAAAGCUUUUAUAUCUGUCUAGACAUGCUAUAAGUAGAAUUAAACUGUAUAUACUCAGACACGCAAUGGUCUGGCAAAAUUUGACACAAUGAUAAGAUUUCUAAGUAGAAUAUAAGCUAUGGUCAGAUUAUAACAAAUGAAAGAGAAAUAUACAUACAAUAUAUAAUAGUAACAUUCAGUUUUUAAGAAAAAUAACCUUGUAUAUGGUCAGACUUUACAAUAAACUUGCUGUAAGCAGAAUAUUGUAAUAAUCUGUAUUUUUAGUUAACUUCAAGCAUAUUUUAAUUAUAAUUAUAUCUGGGGGAAAAUUCAUUUUAAGAUUUUUAUAAAAUAUGUACAGACCAUAAAAUAAGAUUAGUAAACAGGAUAAUGGAACAAUUUAUUUUUUUAUCUUUGUGAGUAUCGUACAUGUAAAAAUAUACUUCGUGUAUAUCUUUUAUACUUCAUGUGUUGUAUGUUACAAAAAUUGUUUGUGACACAAUCAUCGGCUAAAAUCUAUCUCACGAAUUUUACAGGCAGAAUAUAGCGUUCCAAGAAUGUAAUCGACUGUAGUCAGACACAGGCAAGUAGAACGGAAUUAUACAUAGUAGGCAACUUUUAAGGAGAGUAACUUCGUACA